rnacentral:rRNA from 1 species
CAGGCCUAACACAUGCAAGUCGAACGAAUGCCUUCGGGCGUUAGUGGCGCACGGGUGCGUAACGCGUGGGAAUCUGCCCCUUGGUUCGGAAUAACCGUUGGAAACGACGGCUAAUACCGGAUGAUGACGUAAGUCCAAAGAUUUAUCGCCGAGGGAUGAGCCCGCGUAGGAUUAGCUAGUUGGUGUGGUAAAGGCGCACCAAGGCGACGAUCCUUAGCUGGUCUGAGAGGCUGGUCCCCCACACGGGCACUGAGAUACGGGCCCGACUCCUACGGGAGGCAGCAGUAGGGAAUAUUGGGCAAUGGGCGAGAGCCUGACCCAGCCAUGCCGCGUGCAGGAAGAAGGCUUUCUGAGUCGUGAACUGCUUUUGACAGGGAAGGAUAAGCUGGUCGUGACCAGUGAUGACGGUACCUGCAGAAUAAGCACCGGCUAACUCCGUGCCAGCAGCCGCGGUAAU